AUCGAUGAAGAACGCAGUGAAAUGUGAUAAGUAAUGUGAAUUGCAGAAUCUCGUGAAUCAUCGAAUCUUUGAACGCACAUUGCGCCCAAUGGUAUUCCAUUGGGCAUACCUGUUUGAGUAUCAGAAUCCUUUCAAUUAUCAAACUUUUACAUAUAGAGAUAUAUGUAAAGAUGUUUGGAAUACAAUUGAGAAAAGUAGUAUUCCUUAUGGUAUUGCUUUCUUAAAAACUAGAAAUACUAUGUUUUGAUUUUUCUUCAGCUCAUUUUGUAUAUCAUUUAACAAAUGAGUACGAGUAAAAAUAUACAAUACUUUGGAUGACCUCAAAUCAGGUAGGGAUACCCGCUGAACUUAAGCAUAUCAAUAAGCGGAGGAAAAGAAACCAACAGGGAUUGCCUUAGUAACGGCGAGUGAAGCGGCAAAAGCUCAGAUUUGAAAUCUGGUGUCAAAUUGAUACCCGAGUUGUAAUCUGUAGAGGAGUUUUUCGGAGUAUGGCUUUGGUUAAAGUUCCUUGGAAAAGGGCAUCAUAGAGGGUGAGAAUCCUGUUUAUGACCUGUGUCUGUCUCCAUUAUGAAUCUCCUUCAAUGAGUCGAGUUGUUUGGGAAUGCAGCUCUAAAUGGGUGGUAAAUUCCAUCUAAAGCUAAAUAUUGGCAAGAGACCGAUAGCGCACAAGUAGAGUGAUCGAAAGAUGAAAAGAACUCUGAACAGAGAGUUAAAGAGUACGUGAAAUUGUUGAAAGGGAAGCACUUGUGACCAGACAAAUUUACAGUUAAUCAGCCAUCAAUCUUUGGUGGUGCACUUAAUUGUAGGUGGGUCAGCAUCAGUUAUAGUAGUGGAACAAAGAUCAAAGGAAUGUAGCUCCUCUUUGAGGAGUGUUAUAGCCUUUGGUUCAAUACCGCUGGCCAUGACUGAGGAUAGCACUUCCAGUAAGGAUGCUGACAUAAUGGUCAUAAGUGACCCGUCUUGAAACACGG
rnacentral:rRNA from 1 species